UACGUAGGGUGCAAGCGUUGUCCGGAAUUAUUGGGCGUAAAGAGCUCGUAGGUGGCCUGUCGCGUCGGCUGUGAAAACCCAGGGCUUAACUCUGGGCUGGCUUUCGAUACGGGCAGACUAGAGGUAUGCAGGGGAGAACGGAAUUCCUGGUGUAGCGGUGAAAUGCGCAGAUAUCAGGAGGAACACCGGUGGCGAAGGCGGUUCUCUAGUACGGUACUGACGCUGAGACGCGAAAGCGUGGGGAGCGAACAGG
rnacentral:rRNA from 1 species